ACAAACAUCAUCGGAAAGUGGAAGCUCUACUGUUUCUUUCCCUCAGAACUUCAGCUCUGAUGCAGGAGAGUGAAAAUGGAUUCUGUUAUUAUGAAUAGAAUCUCAUCGGGUUUCCUCAAGACUGUGAUGCCAGGAGUUCAAUCAUCAUCAUCAUCAUCAUCAUCAUCAUCAUCAUCAUCAUCAUCAUCACAGCUUGCCUCAUCUGCAUAUAUAAGGAAUGAUGGAACUGUCAGUGCAUGCUCAAAGGGAAACCUGUAGACGGCAGUAAUGCAACACUGUGGAUGCCAGCUGCCGUAAAACCCAAAAGAAGAAGAAGAAGGUAAACCUGCGCAUGCGCAUACGGACUUCCUCUGUCUGCUUGACUGCGCCAAGUGAGUGAUUUCAUGCACAUUAUUUGCUUUAAUCCCCUCAAAUUAAAUAACUUCCCAGCCACAGAAUGGCCUGAUAUUUUGUGAGAUAUUACAGAA